ACUGCCCCUAGAUGUAUUGCAGGUGUGGCUGCUGUGUCACAUGUGUGUUAGUAAGUGGCAGAGAAGAGAGAGGACUAUGUCUAUGCUUAGUGUUCUGACAUGUGAGCACCUGAAUGAUUAGUAGCCAAACACU
ensembl:snoRNA